GAUGAACGCUAGCUACAGGCUUAACACAUGCAAGUCGAGGGGCAGCAUGAUUGAAGCUUGCUUCAAUCGAUGGCGACCGGCGCACGGGUGAGUAACACGUAUCCAACCUGCCGAUAACUCGGGGAUAGCCUUUCGAAAGAAAGAUUAAUACCCGAUAGUAUAGUAUUUCCGCAUGGUUUCACUAUUAAAGAACUUCGGUUAUCGAUGGGGAUGCGUUCCAUUAGAUAGUUGGCGGGGUAACGGCCCACCAAGUCAACGAUGGAUAGGGGUUCUGAGAGGAAGGUCCCCCACAUUGGAACUGAGACACGGUCCAAACUCCUACGGGAGGCAGCAGUGAGGAAUAUUGGUCAAUGGACGAGAGUCUGAACCAGCCAAGUAGCGUGAAGGAUGACCGCCCUAUGGGUUGUAAACUUCUUUUAUACGGGAAUAAAGUGGAGUAUGCAUACUCCUUUGUAUGUACCGUAUGAAUAAGGAUCGGCUAACUCCGUG
rnacentral:rRNA from 1 species